rnacentral:rRNA from 1 species
GAUGAACGCUGGCGGCGUGCCUAAUACAUGCAAGUCGAGCGAACGGACGAGAAGCUUGCUUUUCUGAUGUUAGCGGCGGACGGGUGAGUAACACGUGGAUAACCUACCUAUAAGACUGGGAUAACUUCGGGAAACCGGAGCUAAUACCGGAUAAUAUUUUGAACCGCAUGGUUCAAAAGUGAAAGACGGUCUUGCUGUCACUUAUAGAUGGAUCCGCGCUGCAUUAGCUAGUUGGUAAGGUAACGGCUUACCAAGGCAACGAUGCAUAGCCGACCUGAGAGGGUGGUCGGCCACACUGGAACUGAGACACGGUCCAGACUCCUACGGGAGGCAGCAGUAGGGAAUCUUCCGCAAUGGGCGAAAGCCUGACGGAGCAACGCCGCGUGAGUGAUGAAGGUCUUCGGAUAGUAAAACUCUGUUAUUAGGGAAGAACAUAUGUGUAAGUAACUGUGCACAUCUUGACGGUACCUAAUCAGAAAGCCACGGCUAACUACGUG